CAGUAGCCGCGGUAAUACGAAGGGUGCAAGCGUUACUCGGAAUUACUGGGCGUAAAGCGUGCGUAGGUGGUGGUUUAAGUCCGUUGUGAAAGCCCUGGGCUCAACCUGGGAAUUGCAGUGGAUACUGGAUCACUAGAGUGUGGUAGAGGAUAGUGGAAUUUCCGGUGUAGCAGUGAAAUGCGUAGAGAUCGGAAGGAACAUCUGUGGCGAAGGCGACUAUCUGGGCCAACACUGACACUGAGGCACGAAAGCGUGGGGAGCAAACAGGAUUAGAUACCCCCGUAGUCCCUGUCUCUUAUAA
rnacentral:rRNA from 1 species